AAAAAUUUGUCACGUGUAAGUCUGUUGUAUAAUGUCUUAACAAAAAUAAAGUUAACGUCAAUUGUAGAGGUUAUAUGCAUCCCAGGCUGGCGCUGAUCAUAGCACCGUAACGAUCUCCUUCCCCUCCUCCUGCUACUCACGCCCCUGCCUCCCUUUAUACCACAAUGGCUAAGAGGAAGGAGUUCAAAACGUAGAGUUCAAGUACUCCGGUACCUUCUAAAAAAAGUUACAGGGUUUAUAACUAUUGUGAUUGUCAGUGUCUAAUCCGGGGCAGAUUUAGCGUCGCGUGAGGUUGAGGCACCGGAGUUUCCCAGGGUGAACCGUUCUAUGGGAUGGCGGCGCGGAGUAAUAGUCCUUCCUUUUCACGAAACCUCUACCGGUACUCUUUAAUGCGUCUAGCCCGUUUCGGAAGUUAGAGAGCACGCCACAGGCACCUGUCGAAUACAAGUAAUGGGAACCUCACGCGGGGUCUAGCCUCUAGCGGUCUCCUCCUUCUGCCGCCGAUCACAAGGAGGUGCAGCGAAGAGGAAGGAGUUCGGUUCUACCUCUCUUUAGACGACGAUCGCUGCGUCUUAGACUUCAAGGCUUCCGGUACGGUCUGAAGACAGGAAGGUUGAGGCACUGACCCUUCCCCACCGAACCCAAUGUUCUAGUACGGCGUUGACUUGACGUACUGGUUCUAUACGGAUAGUAUUGUCCUCGUUGAUAAGAUAGUUCGAGUUACUUACAUCGUGGUGCGUUUUCACUAGCUUCGUCCGGUUACUUGCGUUCUCGUUUCGAUCCAAUACUCUUACAGUCGUUCGGUUCUAGUUUCAAAACAAGAAAAACGUCUCCAUUCCCGGUAUGUUGUAAGACUAUGGGGAGUUUCCCUCCACAUGGUUUCUGUGUUUCCUUUCAGGGUUUCACAUAACUCACGCCAGAACGUCCGGUACUCUCUUAAAGUAUGAGCUAUUCUUACAAGUAAAACAAGAGCCUUCUACUUUAACCACAAUCCUUUCUACAACAUCCGAAAGAAAACAACACAACAAAGCGGUCUAGUUUAACCACAACAUCCGAAAGAAAACAACAGCCUUUAAUCCAAGUAAAACACUGGUUCAUCACUUAUACAUUUGAGUCUUUACGAUACUCAUACCAAUUUUAAUCAGCACCAUGAAUAAAGUCAUGUGCACGUUGAGUUUAACUUGGAAACUACAAGUAAA
rnacentral:rRNA from 1 species